UUGGAGGGCAAGUCUGGUGCCAGCAGCCGCGGUAAUUCCAGCUCCAAUAGCGUAUAUUAAAGUUGUUGCAGUUAAAAAGCUCGUAGUUGAAUUUCGGGAUCAAUAUAACGGUCAUGCCGUUGGUAUGCACUGUUAUAAUUGAUUUCUCACCUUCUAAAGAACCGUAAUGCCAUUAAUUUGGUGUCACGGGGAAUUAGGACUGUUACCUUGAAAAAAUUAGAGUGUUUAAAGCAGGCUCACGCUUGAAUACAUUAGCAUGGAAUAAUGAAAUAGGACAUCCGAUUCUAUUUUGUUGGUUUCUAGGAUCGAUGUAAUGAUUAAUAGGGAUAGUUGGGGGCAUUAGUAUUCAAUUGUCAGAGGUGAAAUUCUUGGAUUUAUUGAAGACUAACUACUGCGAAAGCAUUUGCCAAGGAUGUUUUCAUUAAUCAGGAACGAAAGUUAGGGGAUCGAAGACGAUCAGAUACCGUCGUAGUCUUAACCAUAAACUAUGCCGACUAGGGAUCGGAUGAUGUUAAUUUUUUAAUGACUCAUUCGGCGCCUUACGGGAAAC
rnacentral:rRNA from 1 species